rnacentral:rRNA from 1 species
UACAGAGGGGUGCGAGCGUUUGAAUCGGAAUUACUGGGCGUAAAGCGCACGUAGGCGGUCCGGCAAGUCGAGUGUGAAAGGCCCCUCGGCUCAACCGAGGAAGUGCAAACGAAACUACCGGACUUGAAUACUGGAGAGGGUCGCGGAAUUCCCGGUGUAGAGGUGAAAUUCGUAGAUAUCGGGAGGAACACCAGUGGCGAAGGCGGCGACCUGGACCGACAUUGACGCUGAACGGCGAAAGCUAAGGGGAGCAAACGGG